rnacentral:lncRNA from 1 species
AACCCACAUGCACACCAGAAAAGGUGCUUCCUAUCCCUGCCGCACUGUCCUGUAGGAAUUCCACCUCCCAGGAUGCACCAUGUUGCCACCAGUUCCCCCUUCUCUCUGCCCAGUUGCUUCCUGGAGCUUGCAGUCGCUAGGAUGGUGCUGCAGGAUGAAGGACAGAAGAAAACAGGAUUCCUGGUCACUUCAAAAAGCAGCUGGAGAACAGUAAAGAGUUAGGACAUGUCAGAAAACUCCCUUAAUUAAAAUAAUGCCCUGAUGCUCAGGAGAAUGGCUAGAUCCCACAGCUCAAUUUUUGUUUCUGUGAACCCCGAAAAUCUGAGACAGGUCUCAGUUAAUUUAAAAGCUUAUUUUGCCAAGGUUGAGGAUGUGCGCCUGUGACACAGCCUCAAGAGGUCCUGACGAUAUGUGCCCAAGGUGGUCAGGGCACAGCUUGGUUUUAUCCAUUUUAGGGAGAUAUAAGACAUCAAUCAAUGUAUGUAAGGUGUACAUUGGUUCUGUCCCAAAAGGCGGGACAACUCAAGCAGGGAGGGGGCUUCCAGGUCACGGGUAGAUGAGAGACAAACAGCUGCAUUCUUUUGAGUUUCUGACUAGCCUCUCCAAAGAAGGCAAUCAGAUACGCAUUUAUCUAAGUGAGCAGAGGGAUGACUUUGAAUGGAGUGUGAGGCAGGUUGGCCAUAAGCAGUUCCCAGCUAGACUUUUCCCUUUAGCUUGGUGGUUUGGGGGCCCCAAGAUUUAUUUCCCUUUCACAUUUCCCAAAUUCACUUUCUCCCUGGGGGUUGAUUCAAUUGUUUAGGCAUUCACUCAACAAAUGUCAAGCUCAGUAAGUGCCCCUGUCACAUGCUGCAGAUGUUCCUGGAGCCCCAGAGUGGGAGUCCUCCCUUAAUUCCUACAGCUGAGACCCAGCUCUCAGAGAGCAAAAGGGCAUGCUGCAAGGAGUAACCCAGGAGCACGACUCUGCAGCACCCAGAUCACCUCUUUGGACCCCAAAGGUCCAACAUCGGAACCUCAGUGGCAUCUGAUCCUCAGGGUGUAGACAGGGGAGAGGGAGGAAGGGACAAAGAAGCUUUCCAUGUGUCUGGGUGGCUGCUGAAACUCAGGCUCCAUGGGCUUUAUAGGGGAAAUCCUCCCCAAUUUCUGCCAGUAGGCUGGUCAUCCAUCACUUUUUGUUGGUCAUCGGUGUUUUCGUCUUUGCUUCUGUCUUCCCUGGUACUGGGCAAAGCCAUGCUGGGGGCUGCAGGCUGUAUGCCAUCUUAAACGAGUCAAUAUGUUACUUUCCAUCCCCCUUACAUCUGAAUUCGGGGUCUUUUGACACCACUGUUCAACGUAUUUGUAUUUGCAUCUGUUACGCCGCCUUCCUUUGGUUGCAAUUCUGCCUCUAUUCACUCCUCGUAAGUCUUUAACCUGAAUCUUCAGCCCCCCUCUAAAAUGUGCCCGUGCCACACGACUCCGUAUCUCCCGUGCAGAUCCUGGACUCCAGAGCUCUCUAAUGGCCUUGAGCUCUCUAAUGGCCUUCCCUGUGCUUCCACCCAAUGUCCUCAAACACGGCACUGACCUCACCACGCCGCAGUGACCAGCACCAGUCAUUCAGGCCAAAAACCUGGCAGCCCCCUUUCUUCACCUGGUCCAGUCUGUACACAGUCUGCCUGGUAAUCCCACCUCCUCCAGG